rnacentral:rRNA from 1 species
AGUGAACGCUGGCGGCGUGCCUAAUACAUGCAAGUCGAACGGAGUGGCGCACGGGCGGGUAAUGUAUAGCUAAUCAGCCCUACACUAGAGGACAACAGUUGGAAACGACUGUUAAUACUCUAUAGUGUAGGAUGAGGCUAUACUGUAUCAGCUAGUUGGUGAGAUCAGGGCUCACCAAGGCUAUGACGAAUAACUGGACUGAGAGGAUGAUGAGUCACACUGGAACUGAGGCACCGUCCAGACUCCUACGGGAGGCAGCAGUAGCGAGUAUUGCUCAAUAGGGGAAACCCUGAAGCAGCAACGCCUCGUGGAGGAUGACAAUUUUCGGAGCGUAAACUCCUUUUGUUAGGGAAGCGAUACCUGACGAAUAAGCACCGGCUAACUCCGUGCCAGCAGCCGCGGUAAUAC